rnacentral:rRNA from 1 species
AUUGAACGCUGGCGGCAGGCCUAACACAUGCAAGUCGAACGAGUGGCGGACGGGUGAGUAAUGUCUGGGAAACUGCCUGAUGGAGGGGGAUAACUCCUGGAAACGGUAGCUAAUACCGCAUACCAUCAGAUGUGCCCAGAUGGGAUUAGCUUGUGGGUGGGGUAACGGCUCACCAAGGCGACGAUCCCUAGCUGGUCUGAGAGGAUGACCAGCCACACUGGAACUGAGACACGGUCCAGACGCCUACGGGAGGCAGCAGUGGGGAAUAUUGCACAAUGGGCGAAAGCCUGAUGCAGCCAUGCCGCGUGUAUGAAGAAGGCCUUCGGGUUGUAAAGUACUUUAAGCAGGGAGGCGUUACCCGAAGAAAAAGCACCGGCAAACUACGUGCCAGCAGCCGCGGUAAUAC